rnacentral:rRNA from 1 species
AGCUCCAAUAGCGUAUAUUAAAGUUGUUGCAGUUAAAAAGCUCGUAGUUGGAUUUCUGGUGGGGACGUUUGGCCGGCCGUAACGGUUUGCGCUGAAAUGUUCUUCGCCAUCCUUGACGAAUACUGGUUCGCCAUUAAGUUGUGUGGGCUUGGAGUCGUCAUCGUUUACUGUGAAAAAAUUAGAGUGUUCAAAGCAGGCUUAUGCCGUUGAAUACAUUAGCAUGGAAUAAUAAGAUAGGACCCUGGUACUAUUUUGUUGGUUUGCGUACCUAGGUAAUGAUUAAUAGGGACAGUUGGGGGUAUUUGUAUUCCGUUGUCAGAGGUGAAAUUCUUGGAUUUACGGAAGACAAACUACUGCGAAAGCAUUUACCAAGGAUGUUUUCA